CAACAGCAAGCUUCCAGUGCUUUCUGUGCAUGGAGAUGAGAUGACUAGACAGCUGCAGAUCAAAAGAAUCCCCAAGCUGCCCGGCUGUCGAACAGAGAGAGAGAUGUUGGGAUGGAAGAAGCCAUCAACGGUCAGUAGCUGCUUGGUUAGAGGCCAGCACUUCUGGACCUCUGGCUGCGGCCUGGGGCAUAGAAGUGUCUUUUUGAAAUCUUAUUUUAUUUUUAAAAAGUGUGCAUCCUACAUUUAGAGGAUCUUGCUUCAGCUCCUGUCAAGGAGGCUUGUUAGGAAGUGAGUAAAUUGAAUAAACAU
rnacentral:lncRNA from 1 species